CUAAGAAUAUUCCGCAAUGGACGAAAGUCUGACGGAGCGACGCCGCGUGGAUGAAGAAGGCCGCAAGGUUGUAAAAUCCUUUGCUGGGGAAGAAUAAGUCCAGGAGGGAAUGCCUGGAUGAUGACAUGAACCGGCGAAUAAGCCCCGGCCAACUACGUGCCAGCAGCCGCGGUAACACGUAGGGGGCAAGCGUUGUUCGGAAUUACUGGGCGUAAAGGGCAUGUAGGCGGUUUAGUAAGCUUGGCGUGAAAGACCACAGCUCAACUGUGGGGUUGCGUUGAGAACUGCUGAACUUGAGUUACGGAGAGGGAGCUAGAAUUCCUGGUGUAGGGGUGGAAUCUGUAGAGAUCAGGAAGAAUACCGAUGGCGAAGGCAAGCUUCUGGCCGAUAACUGACGCUGAGGUGCGAAAGUGUGGGGAUCAAACAGGAUUAGAUACCCUGGUAGUCCACACUGUAAACGAUGUACACUAGGUGCUGGUGCGGAUGCAUCAGGGCCGAAGCGAACGCGCUAAGUGUACCGCCUGGGGAGUAUGCUCGCAAGGGUGAAACUCAAAUGAAUUGACGGGGUCAUAGCUGUUUCCUG
rnacentral:rRNA from 1 species